GACAGAGGUGCCAAGCGUUAGGCGGAAUCACUGGGCUUAAAGCGUGUGUAGGCGGAUGCCUAAGUACCUUGUGAAAUCCCACGGCUUAACCGUGGAACUGCUCGGUAUACUGGGUGUCUUGAGCCAGCUAGGGGCUACCGGAACAAGUGGUGGAGCGGUGAAAUGCGUAGAUAUCACUUGGAACGCCAAUGGUGAAAACAGGUAGCUGGGGCUGUGCUGACGCUGAGACACGAAAGCCAGGGGAGCAAACGGG
rnacentral:rRNA from 1 species